UGCAGUCUCUGGAGUGCCUAUAUCUCA
rnacentral:piRNA from 1 species